UGGGGAAUAUUGCACAAUGGGGAAACCCGUAGAUGCAGCGACGCCGCGUGAGUGAAGAAGUAUUUCGGUAUGUAAAGCUCUAUCAGCAGGGAAGAGAUUGACGGUACCUGACUAAGAAGCCCCGGCUAACUACGUGCCAGCAGCCGCGGUAAUACGUAGGGGGCAAGCGUUAUCCGGAUUUACUGGGUGUAAAGGGAGCGUAGACGGUAAAGCAAGUCUGAAGUGAAAGCCCGCGGCUCAACUGCGGGACUGCUUUGGAAACUGUUGUACUAGAGUGUCGGAGGGGUAAGUGAAUUCCUAGUGUAGCGGUGAAAUGCGUAGAUAUUAGGAGGAACACCAGUGGCGAAG
rnacentral:rRNA from 1 species